rnacentral:rRNA from 1 species
GAUGAACGCUGGCGGCGUGCCUAAUACAUGCAAGUCGAACGCUUCACUUCGGUGAAGAGUGGCGAACGGGUGAGUAAUACAUAAGUAACCUGGCAUCUACAGGGGGAUAACUGAUGGAAACGUCAGCUAAGACCGCAUAGGUGUAGAGAUCGCAUGAACUCUAUAUGAAAAGUGCUACGGGACUGGUAGAUGGUGGACUUAUGGCGCAUUAGCUUGUUGGUAGGGUAACGGCCUACCAAGGCGACGAUGCGUAGCCGACCUGAGAGGGUGACCGGCCACACUGGGACUGAGACACGGCCCAGACUCCUACGGGAGGCAGCAGUAGGGAAUUUUCGGCAAUGGGGGAAACCCUGACCGAGCAACGCCGCGUGAAGGAAGAAGUAAUUCGUUAUGUAAACUUCUGUCAUAGAGGAAGAACGGUGGAUAUAGGGAAUGAUAUCCAAGUGACGGUACUCUAUAAGAAAGCCACGGCU